rnacentral:rRNA from 1 species
CCUACGGGCGGCAGCAGUGGGGAAUAUUGCACAAUGGGCGCAAGCCUGAUGCAGCGACGCCGCGUGGGGGAUGACGGCCUUCGGGUUGUAAACUCCUUUCGCCAGGGACGAAGCGUUUUGUGACGGUACCUGGAGAAGAAGCACCGGCUAACUACGUGCCAGCAGCCGCGGGAAUACUGAGGGUGCAAGCGUUGUCCGGAAUUACUGGGCGUAAAGAGCUCGUAGGUGGUUUGUCACGUCGUCUGUGAAAUUCCACAGCUUAACUGGGGGCGUGCAGGCGAUACGGGCUGACUUGAGUACUGUAGGGGUAACUGGAAUUCCUGGUGUAGCGGUGAAAUGCGCAGAUAUCAGGAGGAACACCGAUGGCGAAGGCAGGUUACUGGGCAGUUACUGACGCUGAGGAGCGAAAGCAUGGGUAGCAAACAGGAUUAGAUACCCCUGUAGUC